rnacentral:rRNA from 1 species
UACGAAGGGGGCUAGCGUUGUUCGGAAUUACUGGGCGUAAAGCGCGCGCAGGCGGUCUUCCAAGCCAGUGGUGAAAGCCCGGAGCUCAACUCCGGAACUGCCAUUGAAACUGUUGGACUUGAGUACGAGAGAGGUGAGUGGAAUUCCCAGUGUAGAGGUGAAAUUCGUAGAUAUUGGGAAGAACACCGGUGGCGAAGGCGGCUCACUGGCUCGUAACUGACGCUCAGGCGCGACAGCGUGGGGAUCGAAACAGG